rnacentral:rRNA from 1 species
UGGGGGAAUUUUUGGACAAUGGGGGGAAACCCUGAUCCAGCCAUCCCGCGUGUGCGAUGAAGGCCUUCGGGUUGUAAAGCACUUUUGGCAGGAAAGAAACGUCGUGGGUUAAUACCCCGCGAAACUGACGGUACCUGCAGAAUAAGCACCGGCUAACUACGUGCCAGCAGCCGCGGUAAUACGUAGGGUGCAAGCGUUAAUCGGAAUUACUGGGCGUAAAGCGUGCGCAGGCGGUUCGGAAAGAAAGAUGUGAAAUCCCAGAGCUUAACUUUUGGAACUGCAUUUUUGAACUACCGGGCUAGAGUGUGUCAGAGGGAGGUGGAAUUCCCGCGUGUAGCAGUGAAAUGCGUAGAUAUGCGGAGGAACACCGAUGGCGCGA